rnacentral:rRNA from 1 species
UACAGAGGGUGCAAGCGUUACUCGGAAUUACUGGGCGUAAAGCGUGCGCAGGCGGUUUGUUAAGACAGAUGUGAAAUCCCCGGGCUUAACCUGGGAACUGCGUUUGUUACUGGCAAGCUAGAGUGUGUCAGAGGGAGGUAGAAUUCCACGUGUAGCAGUGAAAUGCGUAGAUAUGUGGAGGAAUACCGAUGGCGAAGGCAGCCUCCUGGGAUAACACUGACGCUCAUGCACGAAAGCGUGGGGAGCAAACAGG